GGCAAGGUGGUUCAGUGGUAGAACUCUCGCAUUCCAUGCAGGAGACCCGAGUUCGAUUCCUGGCCAAGGCA
rnacentral:tRNA from 1 species